CGGGUGAGUAACACGUAGGCAACCUGCCCUGAAGCGGGGGAUAACAUCUGGAAACAGGUGCUAAUACCGCAUAACAACGAAAACCACAUGGUUUUCGUUUCAAAGAUGGUUUCGGCUAUCACUUCAGGAUGGGCCCGCGGUGCAUUAGCUAGUUGGUAAGGUAACGGCUUACCAAGGCGAUGAUGCAUAGCCGAGUUGAGAGACUGAUCGGCCACAAUGGAACUGAGACACGGUCCAUACUCCUACGGGAGGCAGCAGGC
rnacentral:rRNA from 1 species